rnacentral:lncRNA from 10 species
AAGGAACUGAGGUAAAUAGGCCUUCAGUGAUGUGGUGGUAAGGUGUUGGGGAGGGGCAGUGUUGUAUAGUCCUGUGAUAAGUCUCAGUUUUUUUUUUUUUUUGAGAUGGAUUCUUGCUCUGUUGCCCAGGAUGGAGUGCAGUGGCAUGAUCUUGGCUCACUGCAAGCUCCGCCUCCUGAGUUCACACCAUUCUCCCACCUUAGCCUCCCGAGUAGCUGGGACUACAGGCGCCCGCCACUACGCCCGGCUAAUUUUAUUUUUGUAGUUUUAGUAGAGAUGGGGUUUCACCGUGUUAGCCAGGAUGGUCUCGAUCUCCUGACCUUGUGACCCACCCACCUCGGCCUCCCAAAGUGCUGGGAUUAUAGGCGUGAGCCACCGUGCCCAGCCAAGUCUCAGGUUUUUUUUUUUUUUUUUUUAACCCCUUUAGGUGGGACAGGAUGGCUACAGGGGCCUGGAUUUGGGUAUUUGCCUUCCCUCAGGUUUGUUAGGAUCUGAUAAAAUCCUAGUAGGGUUAGGCUUUGGUAAAAUAGUUUCUCUUGAGGACAGGCCUUGUUAAGAAGAACAGAAUGUUCUGGAGUAUUUCAAAAUUACACCUUUACUUUACUAUUCCUCUCCCUCUUACCAUUACUUUUCCCUCUUCCUGCUGGAAGCCCAAGGAGAUUUUUCUCUGAUGUUCACUGUGAGAACUCGGAGGAACUCCUGGAGGUAAAGUGUAGGCAUCCCCCUUGCAAGUGGGCCCUCCUGGAGCUUUAACUCCCAGACUUGUCCACACGGAGCCUCCAGCAAUUCAUCAACUACAGUUCAGGUUUUUCUAGCCUGGUAUUUGUUCCUGCACAGAUUUCUUUUUAUGAGUUUCUGCUCCUGUAAGUUGAUUCUCUGUAUCCUCCUGUCUAGGACUACUGGUUUGCUCUGCAAAUUUAAUUUUCUAACAAAUCUAAGAAGAGGUACUGAUUUUUGUUUUGUCAAGUUUUAACUUGUUAGGACAGAGUGAUGACUCCUAAGGUCCUUAUGUGCUAGAUGGGGCAAGCUUCUUUUUAUUUCAAAGGCUUUUCUAAUUUUCUCUUAAGGCAUUAUACAUUGUGAUUACUUGCUCUUGUGUUCCUUAUAGUAUAAUAUUUAUUCUUGAAUAAUGUAUUUUAAAAUUUGAAUUCUUUGCUGAAUUGCGUCACUUCAAUUUUUUUUAUCUUUUUGUUUUUCUCUUUUCUCAAAUAGGAAGUACUGUCAUUCUGACAGCAGGUUCACCCAAAGGGUACACCUUGACUUUGUAAUAGUAUCCCUGACUGUUCUGUUAAAUUUCAAAAUGAGAAAACUCUUUUUCGUCUAUUGACAGAUAAUGUGCACCCAAAUUAAGUGUGAGUGGGGGUCUGACUGUAUGUCUAAAGUGUACAGGCAGAGAUGAAUGUGUGUGGCUUUAGCAGAUCCACACUCAUCCAGGGAUAACUGGACCAUGGGGGCAGGGUGGGAGUGGAGAGAAGUCAUCAUAGGAUGGUAAUCAGGUGCUUGCAGGGAGAAGAGAAGGAAAAGCAGAUGAGUGAACAAGGGCAGAUGGUGCUGGAGAAUUCCAUCAAGUGGGCAUCAAGAAGGGACUGGAGGUUAAAACCUUUGGGAUAAAGAAGAAGAAAAAAAGACAAGCUGAUGGCACCUGGGCACUGUUUGCUGGGCACAAACAUGGCACUGUUUCCUAGGAGAUGAUUCCUCCAGUUCUUUAAGGUAGUAAUGAAUGACAACAAGAAGUUACUUCUCUAUGCUACACACGGUGUAGAAUCCAGAGCCUGACUGGCUGUGACGCGCCCAUGGUGACACCAAGGGGACUCUGCAUGGGCACAUCCCGGCCCUCCUCCCUGCAUGUUCUCCAAGCCAGGUCUUUGAAACCUCCAGUGAUGGGAAUGACAGAAUCUGGGAUGAUUUUCUUCUGUUUCUUAUCUAAAAAAACAACAAAAAGCUCAGCAUACACGGACUCACACAAACCUUUUGCUAGAGGCAGCUCUGUAGACUUAAGACGCUGUCAUUUUUCAGAAGAACCCAGCUUGCUUUGGAACUACAGUCAGCCCUGCAACCCACCCUCACCUUGGACCCUGCUGCUGCUGUCUGUAAAGACAAUGCUGCGAUGAAUACACCUGUGCAUUCUUUUUUAGAACAAGUGUAAGAAUUCCUAUGUGGUAAGUCUGUUUAAAGAGAAUUUCAGAUUCACGUGUAGAUGUGUUAAGUUUGAGCGAUGUUGCCAAACUCUCUUGAACUUAUACCCUCUGUAAUAAUAUAUUGGGAUAUUUGUUUCCUUUUGUUCUUGUCAGUUUUCAUACUAUAAAACUUAAACAUGUUUGACAAUCUGACUGGAAAUGGCUUUGUACUGUUUUAAUUUACUUUUCUUUGCAUUAUGGUAGAUAUCUCUAACUGUCCUCUAGUAUCGACCUUCUUCCUUUUAGUGGUUAAAGACUACAUUUCCCAGCUGCCUUUGCAGCUGGCUGUGGUCAUGUGACUUAGUUCAGGCCAAUGGGAUGAAAGCUUGCCUUGGUCUUCCCCUUUUCCUCUUUCCAGCAGCUGGAAAAGUGCUGACCAGAGCAUUGUUGAAGGCCGUAUAGUAAGAAUGGCAAAGCUUCCCUACCAGCCCAACUGACUGUUUUGUGGUGCAGAGGCCAUCUAUUAUGUGAGAGAGAGCAAUAAAUAUAUAUAUAUAUAUUUUUCUAAGAGACUGGAGUCUCACUAUGUUGCCCAGGCUGGCCUUGAACUCCUGGCCUAAAGCAAUCCUCCCACCUCAGUCUUCCAAGUAGCUGGGACUACAAGUGUGUGCCACCAUGCCCAGCUCUAUAAACGUCUAUUUUUAUUGAGUCCCUAUGUGAGAUCAUUUUCUUGUAGCAGCUUACAUUCUGUACUAAAUUAUACAUGCAAUUUUUCAAAUGUAUUGGACAUUUACACUUUUUCUUCCAUGAUUUGCUUGUUCAAACCAUUUGCUUGUUUUCCAGUUAGGUUUUGCUUUUUACAUAUUUUAAUGGGUAUUCUUCGAAUAUUUUGGAAAUUUCUCCUUUGUUAAAAUGUUAUACCUCCCUCUCCCUCUCCCUCUCCCUCUCCCUCUCCCUCUCCCUCUCCGUCUCCCUCC